AGAUUGAACGCUGGCGGCAUGCCUUACACAUGCAAGUCGAACGGCAGCACGGGAGCAAUCCUGGUGGCGAGUGGCGAACGGGUGAGUAAUAUAUCGGAACGUGCCCAGUAAUGGGGGAUAGCCCGGCGAAAGCCGGAUUAAUACCGCAUACGACCUAUGGGUGAAAGCGGGGGAUUCGCAAGAACCUCGCGUUAUUGGAGCGGCCGAUAUCAGAUUAGCUUGUUGGCGGGUAAAAGCCCACCAAGGCAACGAUCUGUAGCUGGUCUGAGAGGACGACCAGCCACACUGGGACUGAGACACGGCCCAGACUCCUACGGGAGCAGCAGUGGGGAAUUUUGGACAAGUGGGCGCAAGCC
rnacentral:rRNA from 1 species